GGGAAGGUGGCUCAGUGGUAGAGUGCUUGCCUAGUAUGCAUGAAGCCCUAGGUUCGAUUCCUCAGUACCA
rnacentral:tRNA from 1 species